rnacentral:rRNA from 1 species
UACGAAGGGUGCAAACGUUGCUCGGAAUUAUUGGGCGUAAAGCGCACGUAGGCGGCUCUGUAAGUUGGAUGUGAAAUCCCUCGGCUCAACCAAGGAAGUGCAUCCAAAACUGUAGAGCUUGAGUACUAAAGAGGAUCGCGGAAUUCCCGGUGUAGAGGUGAAAUUCGUAGAUAUCGGGAGGAACACCAGUGGCGAAGGCGAGUCCCUGGACAACACCUGACACUGAGGCACGAAAGCUAGGGGAGCAAACAGG